rnacentral:tRNA from 1 species
GCCCCGGUAGCUCAGCGGUUCCCUAGGGAGUUAAAGAGCACCCGGCUGUUAACCGGAUGGUCAUGGGUUCAAAUCCCAUCUGGGGCG